UGGGGAAUUUUGGACGAAUUGGGGGCAACCGUCGAUCCAGCAAUGCCGCGUGUGUGAAGAAGGCCUUCGGGUUGUAAAGCACUUUUGUCCGGAAAGAAAACGCCGUGGUUAAUACCCGUGGCGGAUGACGGUACCGGAAGAAUAAGCACCGGCUAACUACGUGCCAGCAGCCGCGGUAAUACGUAGGGUGCAAGCGUUAAUCGGAAUUACUGGGCGUAAAGCGUGCGCAGGCGGUCCGCUAAGACAGAUGUGAAAUCCCCGGGCUUAACCUGGGAACUGCAUUUGUGACUGGCGGGCUAGAGUAUGGCAGAGGGGGGUAGAAUUCCACGUGUAGCAGUGAAAUGCGUAGAGAUGUGGAGGAAUACCGAUGGCGAAGGCAGCCCCCUGGGCCAAUACUGACGCUCAUGCACGAAAGCGU
rnacentral:rRNA from 1 species